CCUACGGGUGGCAGCAGUGAGGAAUAUUGGUCAAUGGGCGCAAGCCUGAACCAGCCAAGUCGCGUGAGGGAUGACGGUCCUAUGGAUUGUAAACCUCUUUUGUCGGGGAGCAAGGCCCGCCACGUGUGGCGGUAAGGAGAGCACCCGAAGAAAAAGCAUCGGCUACCUCCGUGCCAGCGGCCGCGGUAAUAGGGGGGAUGCGAGCGUUAUCCGGAUUUAUUGGGGUUAAAGGGUGCGUAGGCGGAAGGUUAAGUCAGCGGUAAAAUGUCGGGGCGAAACACCGAACUGCCGUUGAAACUGGUCGGCUUGAGUGAGCGAGAAGUAUGCGGAAUGCGUGGUGUAGCGGUGAAAUGCAUAGAUAUCACGCAGAACACCGAUUGCGAAGGCAGCAUACCGGCGCUCAACUGACGCUGAGGCACGAAAGCGUGGGGAGCGAACAGGAUUAGAUACCCGGGUAGUC
rnacentral:rRNA from 1 species